rnacentral:rRNA from 1 species
UACGUAGGGUGCAAGCGUUAAUCGGAAUUACUGGGCGUAAAGCGUGCGCAGGCGGUGAUGUAAGACAGGUGUGAAAUCCCCGGGCUUAACCUGGGAACUGCAUUUGUGACUGCAUCGCUGGAGUGCGGCAGAGGGGGGUGGAAUUCCACGUGUAGCAGUGAAAUGCGUAGAGAUGUGGAGGAACACCGAUGGCGAAGGCAGCCCCCUGGGCUAACACUGACGCUCAUGCACGAAAGCGUGGGGAGCAAACAGG